GAGUAAUUGAGAAACCUAGUUUCAAGUUAAUUUUCUUUUGAUGUAAAAUGAUUGGUCUUAAUUUGUGUUUUCUCUUUUCUCCGAACUAAUAAUAAUGGAACUUGUUGAUGAACGUGUACAAUACUACAGCUGUUCGGGUUCGACCUGAAGCAAAAUAUUUGAUAUAGAAGAAGGAAUAGAAUAGUGAAAUGUGAAUGAAAACGAUGCGGGCGCAACAUAUCAGGUCAGGUAUACGUUUUGUUCGGACGGAGAUGAUGAUGGCGACAGUUGAUCAAUUCAGUGACACAAACAAAGCCAAAUUAGUCGAAUUCGGAUGAUGAAUUGAAUCGGGAACAUCGUACGGCGUAUUUCAUGUGAAAAGUGCGAGUACCGCUUUUCAUUGCGAAUGCUCCGACCUCGUCAUUGUCAAAAGAAGCAAAAAGUGCUGCAUGGAAAACUCUGACCACACAACGAGAUCGGUCCUCCAAAACAUGAAUGGGCCAGGGCCACCUAGCGAACUGUCGAGUGUUCGUUGAAGAGCCCGUUUUAACUGACCAUUAAAUUGAUUCAUCCGGAAAGACUACCGAAACGUACGUGGAAGAGGAGUGUGUUCCCGACCCAUUAUCAAACAGUGUAUCCAACCGAGAAGAGUAACAAAAAGUCCGAUUGUACUACAGACUCGAUAAGUGAAUUACAUAAUUCACUUCAUGAACUUUAAGAUGAGGACUUGUUUGGACAGACCAGCAAUGGACAUCAAUGUGAAGCAAAUUUUUUACGAAGGGAGUUCUUUGGGGUGUUAGUUCACAGGCCAAUUUCAAUCGGUUUGACGUUCAGCGAGACAGAAUUUGUACAUCUUUCCUAUUCUCUUUUAUAGAAAAUACCAAGAGUUAAUGAGAAACAUUACGGAUAAUAUGUCGAUGAUCAAAAUCAAACGCAAAACCAAUGGGGCAUAGGAGUUUUGACGAAUUAGACGCGGAACAUUAUUCUAAACAAAAAAUUGUUCUACGGAUGCCUCUAAAAUGCACAGAUUUUUUUAUAAAUUUUAUUUAGUUUACAAAGUACGACCCUAAAUCAACCCAAUAUUGUCAGCCGCCUAAGAUGUGACUAAGGCCGUUUCCAGCCGCGAUGAAUAUAUGUAUGUGUAAGGUGCCGAACAUCAAGAACGACAUGGGUAUCGACAGUUCUGAUCAAUAGAAUGUCUUA